AGCAGAGGCGUGUUGGCCACCUGGUGUCUGCCUCUUACGAGCAGAGGCCCAGGGAUCACAGCGCCAAGGAUGCCUUAUCUCCAGGACACAGCAAAUCCAAGAAGAAGAUGCAGGGUGAGGCCGGCCCCAUCUUAUCUCACCUCCAGUGAGACAUCUACUUUUUCUUCCCUGAGCUGACACUGAAGCAGAGAUCCUAAACCAUCAGCCCCUGAGAUGCUGAGGGAUCCUGCUCCUUUGCCUGCCCAUCAUUCCCUCGUAGUAAGAUAAUAUCACUCUGCAAGCUUGCAACAGCCAAAGUCAUGGACUGAAAUCACAUUGGCCAGAAACUGUUGGAAGGUCCUGCUGGUCAGAAGUUGCAGUCUACUGGCAGCUUGCUUCAAGCUCAACAACAUGGCGGACUCACUCUCACUCCAGCGCGGCCUUCUGCUCUCUACCUGCUCCUAUUUAGAGGAUGUCUCUAGGUCUGGAUGUCUGACUUAUCUCAAGGAUGACCUUUGACAUAGUUCCCUGCAAAUGCUCCCCUCCCUGCCCCUGUGGAACACAUGGUAAUUGAGUAGCAUGCUCUAGCUAAUUCAUAGAACGAUGCUGCCACUAACCCAGCUUUAUGAUAGGAGUAUGCCAUGUAAUGCAAACUAGGGUUGUCUCCGGGCUUCCCAAUCCUGUGUAUUUCCUAUACACUGAAAUAAAGUUGCCUUGUCUCACUGAAGUCAACUCCUGGAGGGUUCUCUCCAUCACAUCCACAGCCAACCCUGUUUCCCCGCCUCUGCUUCCCCCCUCCUUGCUGGUGGUGGCUGGUGAACCCGAGGAAGAAGGGGAACCACAGCCUCCUCCAGCGGUGGGGCUGCUUUCGGAAUCGGGAACUGAUGAUGGCCAGGGGGCCGGUGCCAGGUUCUGAAUUCCUGCAGGUGGAUUUUAACAAAAACGAAUUGAUAUACAAAAACAAAAAAAU